rnacentral:misc_RNA from 1 species
GCCAAACUAAACUUUGAUCUAUUUAUAGUAAGUUUGAAUGUCUUAUAAGUCAAACUAAACACCCUCUAAAUAUUACUAUCAAAUAUAUCAAUAAGUGUAUAAAUGCUUUAGGACUUUUUCUCACAAAAAAGACCAUAGUGCUAUAACAUGUUGACGAGCUGAAAUGGCAUAAAAUCCACUUCCUAGGGCAUAUGAUUCUACAAAUCAAAUGGAAUAUUGCAAAAUAUGAUUUCCAAUUCCAAGGCAAAUAUGCUCCCAAAUGUAGAAUUCAU